AAUAAAGGUUAUGUAAUAAAAAGAAGUGAGAAAUGAAUGAGUAUUUAUUUAUUAUUAUUUGUAUGCAUAUAUUAAUCUCUGUUUCACAAGACACGAAGUGUAUCCUGUAUGCUUUGAAGAAUAGAAUUUUAACAAUGAAUGGAAUAUUAUCAUUAUCUUCUUUUUGAUAGAACCAACGCAUAUUUCGUUUAGUAUGAGAUAUUAAGUUUAUAUAUUUAAAUAUUAAAUAUUUUAUUUAUAUUGGAUUUAACAAUUAGUGUUUCUAGUGUAUUAUGUAUUUAUUGCUACUAAACGUUAACAAUUAUAAUAAAUAAUUAAAUAUUAACAGUUUUUGUUACAUAAUAAGCUUACAUCGUACAAAAUAAAUUAUAAAAUAGAUAAUUACAAUAGAUAAUACAAAUGAACCGUUGAGAAUUAAUGUUUAUGUGAACAAAACAAUUUAAUAAACAAUAAUAGGUUCUUUAAUUACACAUGUACAUAACUAUGAAUCAUAGCGGCGGCGCCUUAAGUCUAAUAUUAGACUAAUUACAGAUAACUUUUAUUAUCAAGGCAAAAUAAUAACAAUGAUGUAAUUCAUAUUUUUAACAAUCAAUAAAUACAAUUAUCUUUUCAUAUA